GCGAAAUCCAAAUUGGUUGGUGUCCUGAUGCCAAAAGGAUCAGGCCCUUCCAUCAUCACAUACACCUUUGUCGAACUAUGGGGGGAUUGGUCUAUGCCGAUUUCCUACUUUUUCAUACUCUUGAAGUUUGAGAAUGAAGUCUUGGUUAAAACCAAAAUA
rnacentral:misc_RNA from 1 species